rnacentral:tRNA from 1 species
UGGGGUGUAGCUCAGUGGCAGAGCACUUGCCUAGAAUGCAGGAGGCCAGGUCUGAUCCCCAGCACCACAG